ACUCCUACGGGAGGCAGCAGUGGGGAAUAUUGCACAAUGGGGGAAACCCUGAUGCAGCCAUGCCGCGUGUGUGAAGAAGGCCUUCGGGUUGUAAAGCACUUUCAGUAGGGAGGAAGGUAGUGUAGUUAACACCUGCAUUAUUUGACGUUACCUACAGAAGAAGCACCGGCUAACUCCGUGCCAGCAGCCGCGGUAAUACGGAGGUGCGAGCGUUAAUCGGAAUUACUGGGCGUAAAGCGCAUGCAGGCGGCCUGUUAAGUCAGAUGUGAAAGCCCGGGGCUUAACCUCGGAAUUGCAUUUGAAACUGGCAGGCUAGAGUCUUGUAGAGGGGUUAGAAUUUCAGGUGUAGCGGUGAAAUGCGUAGAGAUCUGAAGGAAUACCAGUGGCGAAGGCGGCCCCUGGACAAAGACUGACGCUCAGAUGCGAAAGCGUGGGAGCAAACAGGAUUAGAUACCCCUGGUAGCGACUGA
rnacentral:rRNA from 1 species